GCUUACAUCCAUACCAACCUGGCUAUACCCGAUCUCGGAAGCUAAGCAGGUUUGGGCCUGGUUAGUACUUGGAUGGGAGACCGCCUAGGAAUACCAGGUGCUGUAAGCU
rnacentral:rRNA from 1 species